AGUGAACGCUGGCGGUAGGCCUAACACAUGCAAGUCGAACGGCAGCACAGGAGAGCUUGCUCUCUGGGUGGCGAGUGGCGGACGGGUGAGGAAUACAUCGGAAUCUACUCUGUCGUGAGGGAUAACGUAGGGAAACUUACGCUAAUACCGCAUACGACCUACGGGUGAAAGCAGGGGAUCUUCGGACCUUGCGCGAUUGAAUGAGCCGAUGUGGGAUUAGCUAGUUGGCGGGGUCAAGGCACACCAAGGCGACGAUCCGUAGCUGGUCUGAGAGGAUGAUCAGCCACACUGGAACUGAGACACGGUCCAGACUCCUACGGGAGGCAGCAGUGGGGAAUAUUGGACAAUGGGCGCAAGCCUGAUCCAGCCAUACCGCGUGGGUGAAGAAGGCCUUCGGGUUGUAAAGCCCUUUUGUUGGGAAAGAAAUCCAGCUGGCUAAUACCCGGUUGGGAUGACGGUACCCAAGGAAUAAGCACCGGCUAACUUCGUGCCAGCAGCCGCCGUAA
rnacentral:rRNA from 1 species